AAUGAUGUAAUCAUCACCAACAAGAGAGUUAGAGCACAAGACAAUGGCAGCAGCACCCAGUGCUGCCCCACAGUGACACAAAAAAAGAUAGUUGAAAUACCUCUCUUUCUCCAUCCUACUCUCCCCUUCUCCUCCUCACCUACGCCCUACUCUCCCCCUUCUCCUCCUCACCUACGCCCUACUCUCCCCCUUCUCCUCCUCACCUACGCCCUACUCUCCCCCUUCUCCUCCUCACCUACGCCCUACUCUCCCCCUUCUCCUCCUCACCUACGCCCUACUCUCCCCCUUCUCCUCACCUACGCCCUACUCUCCCCCUUCUCCUCCUCACCUACGCACUACUCUCCCCUUCUCCUCCUCACCUACGCCCUACUCUCCCCCUUCUCCUCCUCACCUACGCCUUACUCUCCCCCUUCUCCUCCUCACCUACGCCCUACUCUCCCCCUUCUCCUCCUCACCUACGCCCUACUCUCCCCCUUCUCCUCCUCACCUACGCCCUACUCUCCCCCUUCUCCUCCUCACCUACGCCCUACUCUCCCCUUCUCCUCCUCACCUACGCCCUACUCUCCCCCUUCUCCUCCUCACCUACGCCCUACCCUCCCCUUCUCCUCCUCACCUACGCCCUGCUCUCCCCUUCUCCUCCUCACCUACGCACUACUCUCCCCUUCUCCUCCUCACCUACGCCCUACUCUCCCCCUUCUCCUCCUCACCUACGCCCUACUCUCCCCUUCUCCUCCUCACCUACGCCCUACUCUCCCCUUCUUCUCCUCACAUACGCUCUACUCUCCCCUUCUCCUCCUCACCUACGCCCUGCUCUCCCCUUCUCCUCCUCACCUACGCCCUACUCUCCCCUUCUCCUCCUCACCUCCGCCCUACUCUCCCCCUUCUCCUCCUCACCUACGCCCUACUCUCCCCUUCUCCUCCUCACCUACGCCCUACUCUCCCCUUCUUCUCCUCACCUACGCCCUACUCUCCCCUUCUCCUCCUCACCUACGCCCUGCUCUCUCCUUCUCCUCCUCACCUACGCCCUACUCUCCCCUUCUCCUCCUCGCCUACGCCCUACUCUCCCCUUCUCCUCCUCACCUACGCCCUACUCUCCCCCUUCUCCUCCUCACCUACACCCUACUCUCCCCUUCUCCUCCUCGCCUACGCCCUACUCUCCCCCUUCUCCUCCUCACCUACGCCCUACUCUCCCCUUCUCCUCACCUACGCCCUACUCUCCCCCUUCUCCUCCUCACCUACGCCCUACUCUCCCCCUUCUCCUCCUCACCUACGCCCUACUCUCCCCCUUCUCCUCCUCACCUACGCCCUACUCUCCCCUUCUCCUCCUCACCUACGCCCUACUCUCCCCUUCUUCUCCUCACCUACGCCCUACUCUCCCCUUCUCCUCCUCACCUACGCCCUGCUCUCUCCUUCUCCUCCUCACCUACGCCCUACUCUCCCCUUCUCCUCCUCGCCUACGCCCUACUCUCCCCUUCUCCUCCUCACCUACGCCCUACUCUCCCCCUUCUCCUCCUCACCUACACCCUACUCUCCCCUUCUCCUCCUCGCCUACGCCCUACUCUUCCCCCUUUCCUCCUCACCUACGCCCUACUCUCCCCCUUCUCCUCCUCACCUACUCCCUACUCUCCCCCUUUCCUCCUCUUCCUCACUUCCCCACAGGGUUGGGGAGUAACUGAUUUAAUGUAA
rnacentral:lncRNA from 8 species